rnacentral:tRNA from 1 species
GCUUUGGUGGCGGAAUGGUAGACGCGGCGCACUCAAAAUGCGUUGUCUUGUGACGUGAGGGUUCGACUCCCUCCUGAAGCA